GGGUCGGAAGGAUCAUUA
rnacentral:rRNA from 1 species